rnacentral:rRNA from 1 species
UGAGGAAUAUUGGUCAAUGGGCGAGAGCCUGAACCAGCCAAGUAGCGUGCAGGAAGACGGCCCUAUGGGUUGUAAACUGCUUUUAUGUGGGGAUAAAGUGCGUGACGUGUCAUGCAUUGCAGGUACCACAUGAAUAAGGACCGGCUAAUUCCGUGCCAGCAGCCGCGGUAAUACGGAAGGUCCGGGCGUUAUCCGGAUUUAUUGGGUUUAAAGGGAGCGUAGGCUGUCUAUUAAGCGUGUUGUGAAAUUUACCGGCUCAACCGGUGGCUUGCAGCGCGAACUGGUCGACUUGAGUAUGCAGGAAGUAGGCGGAAUUCAUGGUGUAGCGGUGAAAUGCUUAGAUAUCAUGAAGAACUCCGAUUGCGAAGGCAGCUUACGGGAGUGUUACUGACGCUUAAGCUCGAAGGUGCGGGUAUCGAACAGG